rnacentral:rRNA from 1 species
UGGGGAAUUUUGGACAAUGGGCGAAAGCCUGAUCCAGCAAUGCCGCGUGCAGGAAGAAGGCCUUCGGGUUGUAAACUGCUUUUGUACGGAACGAAAGGCUCUUUCUAAUAAAGAGGGCCCAUGACGGUACCGUAAGAAUAAGCACCGGCUAACUACGUGCCAGCAGCCGCGGUAAUACGUAGGGUGCGAGCGUUAAUCGGAAUUACUGGGCGUAAAGCGUGCGCAGGCGGUUCUAUAAGACAGAUGUGAAAUCCCCGGGCUCAACCUGGGAACUGCAUUUGUGACUGUAUAGCUAGAGUACGGCAGAGGGGGAUGGAAUUCCGCGUGUAGCAGUGAAAUGCGUAGAUAUGCGGAGGAACACCGAUGGCGAAGGCAAUCCCCUGGGCCUGUACUGACGCUCAUGCACGAAAGCGUGGGGAGCAAACAGGAUUAGAUACCCUCGUAGUCCCUGAGCGGGCUGGCAAGGCGCAU